GAUGAACGCUGGCGGCGUGCCUAAUACAUGCAAGUCGAGCGAACAGACGAGGAGCUUGCUCCUCUGACGUUAGCGGCGGACGGGUGAGUAACACGUGGAUAACCUACCUAUAAGACUGGGAUAACUUCGGGAAACCGGAGCUAAUACCGGAUAAUAUAUUGAACCGCAUGGUUCAAUAGUGAAAGACGGUUUUGCUGUCACUUAUAGAUGGAUCCGCGCCGCAUUAGCUAGUUGGUAAGGUAACGGCUUACCAAGGCAACGAUGCGUAGCCGACCUGAGAGGGUGAAAGGCCACACAGGAACUGAGACACGGUCCAGACUCCUACGGGAGGCAGCAGUAGGGAAUCUUGCGCAAUGGGCGAAAGCCUGACGGAGCAACGCCGCGUGAGUGAUGAAGGUCUUCGGAUCGUAAAACUCUGUUAUUAGGGAAGAACAAAUGUGUAAGUAACUAUGCACGUCUUGACGGUACCUAAUCAGAAAGCCACGGCUAACUACGUG
rnacentral:rRNA from 1 species